GGAAUCAAACCGUGACCUCCUGGUUCAUGGGUGGGCACUCAACCACUGAGCCUCACAAGCCAGGCCCCACUGCUAUUUUCGAUGCAAAUAAAUUUCAGGUAG